CUCGAGGUGACAUUUCACACUUAGAAGACAAGUUUAAGUUAAUCAAGCAGUAAUUGGUUCUGCAGACUAAUGGGAUAGAGGUGGAGGCUUUCCAGGGGAGAAAGGCGUGUGCUGAAUUUCUGCUUUCUCACGAUGAAAGGCUGCUUCCCCAUCUGUGCCACCCGACGUGGCUCUGUUAGGUUUGUACUGGCUGCAUGGAACGGAAAGCAGCCUUACGUAACAGGGGCUGAACUUCCUCACUAAACAAGAAGUCUGGAGUGAAGCCUUUCAGAUGUUGCUGAUGGCUCUUCCAGCUUCCUGCCCUGCUCCCCUUCGUGGGAGACUUCUUUUCUUCAUGGUUGCAGAAUGGCUGCUUCACCCCCAGACAUCACAUCCAUACUUCUGAAAAGAAAAGAAGAGGGAAAGGAGAAGAAAUGACGAAGACCACAGGGCUGAAGGCACAUACUACUCUAUCUUUUUAGGAAUUCUCUUUAAAAAAGAAGUUUAUUUUUCUUUCAUGAUAGAGAGAACCUCCGACAACCUCCAACAGGGUCUUGAUAGUGGUCGACCACCCGUCUCAGCCAGCCUGGGCUCAGACAUAUGUGUGCCUGGUGUUCUCUGGGAGGAACCUGGACCUCUCGGCGUGGGUCCGCCCUGCAGAGUGUCACAUCCCACUCCUGUGCCAUGUGUGGUCCCUUGGAAUUCUUGCCUGGAGUCAUUUUGCUUCCAUCUCCUCAGCCAGACCUGAGUCGUGUGGACACCCCUCAUUGCACAGGAGCCCAGAAAAGCCCUCCACUCCCUGUCCGUGACUAAGGACUCCUGUGGCCACAGUACGAGGGUGCUGUCCAGAGGGGUGCCCAGUGC